rnacentral:sRNA from 1 species
UCAAAACCUACUUUGAUAAAGGUUCUUUUAAAUGCUUCAAUCUUCGUUACAGUCCACUCAUAAAAUGUAGGAGAGGAAGAUGAUUAAUAGGACAAAGGGAAAGUGGGCCUGUUUAGAUGUAGCUUUGGGUCUCAAUUCCAAUCUUUGUUUUGGUAGACCAGUCAAAUCAGCAGCAACACCUCAAUCCAGAAGAAACCACAAGGCUCCACUGAUCAGCACAAGUCCAUUGAAGUGGCAAGAAGCAACCAGAACACCACCAGAAUUUCUUUGGUGCAUUUCUCUCUACAAAGUCAUGACAUAUGAAGAUCAGCAAAGAAAGCGAGGCAAACCAAAGCCAGAGCACCGUCCACUGUCUGACCCUGUUCUGUAAAUUUGACCUUAAACAAAUGUGGAAAGAGUGAAGAGAAAAAAGGAAGACUAGAAGUGAUUCUUAGGGCGCCUCCUCUGUGUGCUUGUCAGUCAGAAGACAACUUUUGGAGACUGAUUCUCCCCCCUAUCAUAUGAGAACCAAGGAUUAAGCUCCAGUUAUCAGGCAAGUGCUUUUAUCCAUUGAGUCAUCUCACUAGCCCACAUGGGUUUUUCAUCUCUUCCUACACACACACACACACACC